UCUAAUGCACCUUUCAGGCACUUUGGGAAGC
rnacentral:piRNA from 1 species